rnacentral:tRNA from 1 species
GGCUCAGUAGCUCAGUUGGUUAGAGCGCCGGCCUGUCACGCCGGAGGUCGUGGGUUCGAGUCCCAUCUGAGUCG